AGCGUUGAACAAAGGCUUGCUGGAGAAUUGGAGAAGGGUAUGUCAUAGGAAAUACUGAUUCGCGAGGAGAAAUAAGUAAAGGGAAAAAGAAACGGAAAUGCUACUUAUAAAGGGGUAACCUUUUCGUCUGAUUGAAGUCCAGAAGUUGAAGCAGGUAGUAUCGCACGCGUCGUCGGAUUAUAUACGUGUCAAAAGCGUGUAUCUCGAGAGUAAAUUUUGGAAGAUUUAUCGUCAAAUAGUUAUUGUCCUAAAGGCGAAGUUGGAGUCGCCAAACUACUACCUCGAAGUACACAACGCCUCUGAAAUGACCACGCCAAAAAUACGAACCUCGCCUUUUUAAGGCGUAACAAAAAGUUAAAAGGGAAACGCCCAAGAAGAAAAGAUUCAAGAUUAAGGGGAAAGUAAAACUCGGAAACAAUAAAUUCAGUCCUAGACUGAAAUAGAAAUCUUUAUUAAUUUCGAAAAGUAAAGUACAACAAUGGAAAGCAAAGUUACAAAGGAAGAUGAAAAGGCUAAUCCUAGAUCCUAUCAAUCGGAUUCUGAAUCCUUCUGUGCAGGCUCAGGAGUUGUCAUCUUGGAUUCCACGGUAAUCCGGGAUCCAUCUUCUUCACCCGAUGAAGAAGCACGAGAAGAAAACUCGGGAGGAACGUAUGUCUCCAGAAACGAAGCAUAAUCCCUAUCAGUGCUAUCAGAAUCAGAGGUAUCAGAAGAAAGAAUGAUGACCUCCACUUCUUUGACCUCUUUAGACCUUCGGGAGCGAGUAGAGUUAGAGGUGGUUACCUCCACCCUUUUCUUCCUUCGCUGAGGUUGAGACUUCUCAGCAAUGGGUGCUUUGGUAUUUUUCCUUUCCAUCGUAAGGAUUCAGAACAAGUUGAUAAGAAUAUGAGUUGAGCAGUUGAUAUUUAUAGCCAAUUAUGCUUAACCCUAGCAUCGUUAUUAAUGGUCGUAAUUAAUGCUUGGACGGCCUUAACCACUUUGGUUUGAC
rnacentral:lncRNA from 1 species